rnacentral:rRNA from 1 species
UACGUAGGCAGCGAGCGUUGUCCGGAGUUACUGGGCGUAAAGGGUGCGCAGGCGGCCCGACAGGUGUGUGGUGAAAUCUCCCGGCUUACCUGGGAGGGGGCCACGCAAACCGUUGGGCUUGAGGCUCGGGGAGGGGCGUGGAAUUCCGGGUGUAGCGGUGGAAUGCGUAGAGAUCCGGAAGAACACCGGUGGCGAAGGCGGUCUGCUGGGCCAAGACUGACGCGGAGGCGCGACAGCGUGGGGAGCAAACAGG